rnacentral:rRNA from 1 species
UACGUAGGGGGCAAGCGUUGUCCGGAAUCAUUGGGCGUAAAGAGCGUGUAGGCGGCUCGGUAAGUCCGCUGUGAAAGUCCAGGGCUCAACCCUGGAAUGCCGGUGGAAACUGUCGAGCUAGGGUCCGGAAGAGGCGAGUGGAAUUCCUGGUGUAGCGGUGAAAUGCGCAGAUAUCAGGAGGAGCACCAAUGGCGAAGGCAGCUCGCUGGGACGGUACUGACGCCGAGACGCGAAAGCGUGGGGAGCAAACAGG